UACGGGGGGGGCAAGCGUUGUUCGGAAUUACUGGGCGUAAAGGGCUCGUAGGCGGCCAACUAAGUCAGACGUGAAAUCCCUCGGCUUAACCGGGGAACUGCGUCUGAUACUGGAUGGCUAGAGUGUGGGAGAGGGAUGCGGAAUUCCAGGUGUAGCGGUGAAAUGCGUAGAUAUCUGGAGGAACACCGGUGGCGAAGGCGGCAUCCUGGGCCACGACUGACGCUGAGUGAGCGAAAGCCAGGGGAGCAGACGGG
rnacentral:rRNA from 1 species